UACAGAGGGGGCAAGCGUUGUUCGGAAUUACUGGGCGUAAAGGGCGCGUAGGCGGCCUUCUAAGUCGAACGUGAAAUCCCCGGGCUCAACCCGGGAACUGCGUCCGAUACUGGAAGGCUUGAAUCCGGGAGAGGGAUGCGGAAUUCCAGGUGUAGCGGUGAAAUGCGUAGAUAUCUGGAGGAACACCGGUGGCGAAGGCGGCAUCCUGGACCAACACUGACGCUGAUGAGCGAAAGCCAGGGGAGCAAACGGG
rnacentral:rRNA from 1 species